rnacentral:rRNA from 1 species
UACGUAGGUGGCAAGCGUUGUUCGGAAUUACUGGGCGUAAAGGGCGCGUAGGCGGCCUACUAAGUCAGACGUGAAAUCCCCCGGCUUAACCUGGGAACUGCGUCUGAUACUGGAAGGCUUGAGUAUGGGAGAGGGAUGUAGAAUUCCAGGUGUAGCGGUGAAAUGCGUAGAUAUCUGGAGGAAUACCGGUGGCGAAGGCGGCAUCCUGGACCAUUACUGACGCUGAGGCGCGAAAGCUGGGGGAGCGAACAGG